GAGGGCGGGCCGGGGGCCGGGCUGAGGGCGGGCCGGGGGCCGGCCGUCGGUUACCGGGCACGGUCGCAGCGUGGCCUUGAUCCCUGUCCCUCCUGGUGAAUUUCCGAGCUGCCCCGGGUCCGAGGGGAUGUGCGCUGUGAGCUGGUGUGCGGGUUAGCCACGUUCGUGCAGCCUCUCAGACAGCUGCGAGCUGCUAACAGUGCACAGGUUGUCUAAAAGAUAAAUACCCCGUUCGUUCUCCUCAAUAUUACUUUCUUAGCGAAGACGGCACUUCCAGGGGCUCUUUUCAGUUCAUUUGCGGAGUAGUCAGAAGUCCCGCAGGAAAAUCCGCACUGUUUCUCCCAACAUGCGAGACCAACCUUCCGCAGAGGUGAGCCAAACAAAGCUCAGGUGACAGGCAGGCCCCAGCCGUGUCAGGUGACAGUGGUGACAGGUGGGGAGAGCCCCGACACUGCCAAGAUGAGAAACACGGCUGUUUGUCAGUGUGCAGCGUCACAGAGCGGGGCAGGGCUUGUCUCAGAGUUAAACCAAGCGCUGAACCAACAGUUAAGAGCUUCCUUUUCCAUUCUCUUCGUUUUCAGCCUGUCUUACAGCCUUAUUGGAGAAGAAAAUAAUUAUCAGGAGUGUUUUUCUUUUUCAGUUUAUUUACACCCUUGGGUUUUGUUCUACAUUUUCCAUAUCCAUUUGAUUCUGACAUCUCUUCUUUUCCUCUUAAUCUGCAAGUAUGAACAAUCUCAGACUCAGUAAAUAGGUUUCAGAGUCUGCUAAAAAAUAGGAUGACCUUGGAGGCAUUUGGGAGAGAUCAAGUUCUUUUUCUAAAAUGGCACACAUUUUCUUCAGCAUGGGUGAAAGUAAAACCUUGCAUUCUCACUUCUUUUUCAGCUACACGAAAGAGUAAGCAAAUAUAUGACCAGAUGAAACUUGGCAAGCAAAAUGUUUCUGAGAUAAAUUUUAGAAUGGCUACAUAUAAAUAUAUUGAGGAUUCUUGUUUCUACAGAGAAAUAAGUGUUUGAUGUUUUGUUUUGUAUAGUGUCUUCCAUCCAACAAUAUUCUAAACCAUCCCUGAUUUAUGAAUCAAUUUUGCUUUUUUAGAGCAUAUAUGUUUGAGAUGUCAAGGAAAUUGGGAGUCUCUUCUUGGCAGCUUUCUAGGCACAGAAAACUCAGCUGUUUUUCUGUUCUUUAAAGAUGUAGAAAGUAAUUUUUGCGGUAAAAUUCUGGAAUUACUUCAGGAGGAUAAAAUGGUGUGUGCCUCAGAGGUCCAAGCAGAGCAGCAUGGGGCCCUCUCCUGUCUGCUUCCUCGAUUUGCCAGUAACCUCAGAAUUUAUGCCUAUGAAAUACCAGAACCACGCUGAAGGAGACUAGAAAACCAAAAGCACAAGCCUCAAAACAAUUCCGUCUUACCCACUCACCCACACAUGUGAGAGCAGGCUGAAAUUUUGCCAUUUAGAGGCAUUGGCAUAGACACUGUCUUAGCAAUUGUGCAUGGAGGAUUUGUAAAACCUCCUUUGAAAAUGGAAACUCCUUUAAAAGUCUUCUUCCCAGGCAUGGAAACCUGCCCUCCAAUCCACUGUGACAUGCAGGAAAACAUCUAGAGACUCCCAAAAUUAUAGAUAUUAGCAGCUUAGACUCUUCAAGGUAAGUCUCCACAAAUUGUUUUGCUACAUGAGCUCACUAGAGGAAACAAAAAUGUUUCCUAUUUGAAAGAACUUCUUGAAUUCUGUCCUGAAAAUUACAUUUGAAUUCAAAGCCAGUAACAGGGCUCAACAAAGAGAACAGAGAAUGGCUCACUGGCCUGAAACACAAUUGGAUUGGCAGGAACUGCCUGCACUGGCAGUUUGAUAAUCUGUAUAAUCAUAAUUCUGUACAAUCAUAAUAAAUGAAAUACCUUCAUUGUCUCAAAUUCUGUCUGGAAGUAGUUAGUAUAAUUUCUCUAUCAUUAUUCUUAUAAAAAUCCCAUGAUAUUUCCCAUAGGUCUUAUCAGGGAAGUCAAAAUCCCUGUGAACGCACAGCAACUACAAAUCUCUCCUUCAGCCUCCAGAGCUCUGAGCAUUUGGACACAUUAACAAGCCCACACUGGAAAGGGCAGAGGAGAAAAAAGGAAAACAAAUGAAGCUCCAGUGAGUGAACUCCUAAAAAGUGUGGGGAGAAGCUCCGCUUAUGCUAAUAAACUUUUGAGAAGAAUUUCUUCAGAUGUAUCACAAUUUUAAAAAGACAAUAUAUUGAGCCCUGUUUUUCUGUGCUUCAUCUCUCUGUCAUAGCCUUGCGGAUUCUCCCUCGCUCCUCCUCCUGGGCCAGCAAUCUGUGUGUGAAAGUGUAUUAUUUAAUUUCAAUUACAAUGUUAAUUACAGAAGACAAGUGGUUACUGAAUCUUGCACCGUAAUUAAUCAACCUGAUAUUUACUUACUCCGUUGUUCACACUGGAUUAAGCUGGGUCUGGACAAGCAGGGCAAGGAAAGUGAGUGACAGGAGCAUUAUCAUGGCACACUGCCUCCCAUUGGGAAAGUUCAUCUUCCUUCUGAAAGAGACGCCUUCAGGGAUCAUGGAAUUUGAAUUCCCUGUGAAUUUGGUGUCAUCUUAGCUUGACCAGCUCUGGAAGAACAUAUUAACCUCCUCUUGUGAUUUUCAGAAAACCAUUCUAAUUUAGCAAGUAAUUAAGGGUCACAUGUAGGAUAAAGAGCUAGAUAAGCUUGGAUUACGCACAGGAAGCUUUGUUUCCAAGGCAACCCGAGCAGAGGGGGUGUUAAUACUGAGGUCAGGCACUUAAUGAACUGGGAAUGGUUUCUGGCUGCAAAAUGUAUUCGAACUGGGCAAGGCGAACUAACAACUGCAUUACCAUUUAAUGAUUUGAUGAGAGAAAACAAAUGCCUACAGGGCUACUUAUCGGGCAAAUACUGAAGAAAAAGCUUACAGGCGGUGCCACCGUUCUGCUAAGUGAGGUCAGGAGAAGUCCAAAACAAUGACGCUCGACAAGCCCGAAAUACUUCAGUCAGCACGGAUGGAUUUCGUGACUUCCCAGUGUGAAGGUGUCGCUGUGUGCGUCAGCUGCCGCUGCUGACACACUCACCCUGUGCUGCGUGCUCUUUUCCUCCCGAGGUUAGUCCUGCCCGGAGGUUGCUGCCUGUGGAAUCGCCCUGGGGGAUUUAGCGCACUGAAAAGCAAGACGGCUCUUCCUAGAGCUCCGGACGCAAUCCACUCCUGGGACUUUAGACUCUGGGAAUUAAUCCCUCGGGGCAUUUGACACGGCAGAUCUCACACACAAAUACCAUGCGCAUGGAUAAAGUGGCCAAAUCUGUAGCAAAAUAGAUGGAUUUAGUAAAACACGUUAAUGUUUUCAAAA